GACGGAGGGUGCUAGCGUUGUUCGGAAUCACUGGGCGUAAAGGGCGCGUAGGCGGCCUUGCAAGUCGGUUGGUGAAAACCCGGGGCUCAACCCCGGAGGUGCGGCCGAGACUGCAGGGCUGGAGGCCGGAAGAGGAGGGUGGAAUACCCAGUGUAGAGGUGAAAUUCGUAGAUAUUCGCAAGAACACCAGUGGCGAAGGCGGCUCACUGGUCCGGUACUGACGCUGAGGUGCGAAAGCGUGGGGAGCAAACAGG
rnacentral:rRNA from 1 species